ensembl:lncRNA
UUCCCCCCCUCAUGUUGUUAGGCAGUCGCUAGGGUGUUUGUCCCCUCAUGUUGUUAGGCAGUCGCUAGGGUGUUUGUCCCCUCAUGUUGUUAGGCAGUCGCUAGGGUGUUCCGGAUGUUUUUCCCCCCUCAUGUCGUUAGGCAGUCGCUAGGGUGUUCCAGGUGUUUUUCCCCCUUAUGUUGUUAGGCAGUUGCUAGGGUGUUCCAGUUUUUUUGGUUUGUUUUUAUACCAUGUAGUUAGGCAGUCGCUAGGGUAUUCCGGGUGUUUGCUUACCAUGUUGUUAGGCAGUUGCUAGGGUGUUCCAGGUGUUUUUCCCCCCUCAUGUUGUUAGGCAGUCGCUAGGGUGUUUGUCCCCUCAUGUUGUUAGGCAGUCGCUAGGGUGUUCCGGAUGUUUUUCCCCCCUCAUGUCGUUAGGCAGUCGCUAGGGUGUUCCAGGUGUUUUUCCCCCCUCAUGUUGUUAGGCAGUCGCUAGGGUGUUCCAGUUUUUUUGGUUUGUUUUUAUACCAUGUAGUUAGGCAGUCGCUAGGGUAUUCCGGGUGUUUGCUUACCAUGUUGUUAGGCAGUUGCUAGGGUGUUCCGGGUGUUUGUUUACCAUGUUGUUAGUCAGUUGCCAGCGUGUUCCGGGUGUUCUUUCCCCUCAUGUUGUUAGGCAGUCGCUAGGGUGUUCCGGGUGUUUUUUUGUUUGUUUUUUUACCAUGUUGUUAGGCAGUCGCUGGUGUGGACAAUGGACAAUUUUUUUUUUUUUUUUACCAUGCCGUUAGGCGGUUGUAAGUGUGUUCAGGGUGUUUCUUUUACUAUGUUGUUAGGCAGUUACUAGGGUGU